rnacentral:rRNA from 1 species
UACGUAGGGGGCAAGCGUUGUCCGGAAUCAUUGGGCGUAAAGAGCGCGUAGGCGGCCCUGUAAGUCCGCUGUGAAAGUCAAGGGCUCAACCCUUGAAUGCCGGUGGAUACUGCAGGGCUAGAGUCCGGAAGAGGCGAGUGGAAUUCCUGGUGUAGCGGUGAAAUGCGCAGAGAUCGGAAAGAACACCAACGGCGAAAGCACUCUGCUGGGCCGACACUGACACUGAGAGACGAAAGCUAGGGGAGCGAAUGGG